GGCUGUAAGGGGGGUCUGGCUGAGACGUCUGUCUGUCUCCCCCACUGGUUGCCAGGGUGAUCUGGCUGAUCAGGCUGGCUAGGCAGGUGUCCUCUUACUCCUUCACAGCCUCAUUCAUGACCCUUCCCAAGCUGUAGGCUCCCUCCUACCCCAUAGCUAGCACCAGCACUGUUUUAGUCCCCUGCUCAAAGAUGUGGGCUUGAGAUAUAGCUCAGUGGUAAAGCACUUGCCUGGCUUGUACCUAAGGGCCUAGGUUUAAUCACCACCAUCACCACCACCAAAAAAAAUUGUGAUUCUGU
ensembl:misc_RNA 7SK 7SK RNA